rnacentral:rRNA from 1 species
CCUACGGGUGGCAGCAGUCGAGAAUCAUUCACAAUGGGGGAAACCCUGAUGGUGCGACGCCGCGUGGGGGAAUGAAGGUCUUCGGAUUGUAAACCCCUGUCAUGUGGGAGCAAAUUAAAAAUAUAGUACCACAAGAGGAAGAGACGGCUAACUCUGUGCCAGCAGCCGCGGUAAUACAGAGGUCUCAAGCGUUGUUCGGAAUCACUGGGCGUAAAGCGUGCGUAGGCUGUUUCGUAAGUCGUGGGUGAAAGGCGCGGGCUCAACCCGCGGACGGCACAUGAUACUGCGAGACUAGAGUAAUGGGGGGGGAACCGGAAUUCGCGGUGUAGCAGGGAAAGGGGUAGAUAUUGAGAGGAACACUCGUGGCGAAGGCGGGUUCCGGGACAUUAACUGAGGCUGAGGCACGAAGGCUAGGGGAGCGAAAGGGAUUAGAUACCCCAGUGUC